UACGGGGGGAGCAAGCGUUGUUCGGAUUUACUGGGCGUAAAGGGCGCGUAGGCGGCCACCGCAAGUCGACUGUGAAAUCUCCGGGCUCAACCCGGGAACUGCGUCCGAUACUGGAAGGCUUGAAUCCGGGAGAGGGAUGUGGAAUUCCAGGUGUAGCGGUGAAAUGCGUAGAUAUCUGGAGGAACACCGGUGGCGAAGGCGACAUCCUGGACCGGUAUUGACGCUGAGGCGCGAAAGCCAGGGGAGCAAAGCGGG
rnacentral:rRNA from 1 species